AGACCCGAAACCCGGUGAUCUAGCCAUGGGCAGGUUGAAGGUUGGGUAACACUAACUGGAGGACCGAACCGACUAAUGUUGAAAAAUUAGCGGAUGACCUGUGGCUGGGGGUGAAAGGCCAAUCAAACCGGGAGAUAGCUGGUUCUCCCCGAAAGCUAUUUAGGUAGCGCCUCGUGAAUUCAUCUCCGGGGGUAGAGCACUGUUUCGGCUAGGGGGCCAUCCCGGCUUACCAACCCGAUGCAAACUGCGAAUACCGGAGAAUGUUAUCACGGGAGACACACGGCGGGUGCUAACGUCCGUCGUGAAGAGGGAAACAACCCAGACCGCCAGCUAAGGUCCCAAAGUCAUGGUUAAGUGGGAAACGAUGUGGGAAGGCCCAGACAGCCAGGAUGUUGGCUUAGAAGCAGCCAUCAUUUAAAGAAAGCGUAAUAGCUCACUGGUCGAGUCGGCCUGCGCGGAAGAUGUAACGGGGCUAAACCAUGCACCGAAGCUGCGGCAGCGAACGUAUCACCCAAGACAACUUUACGGAGUUGACGAUUGACGGAGCGAAGCGACGUCAAAGCGUUCAUUAAAGUCGAGUUGGCUUAGGGAUACGUUCGUUGGGUAGGGGAGCGUUCUGUAAGCCUGUGAAGGUGUGUCGUGAGGCAUGCUGGAGGUAUCAGAAGUGCGAAUGCUGACAUAAGUAACGAUAAAGCGGGUGAAAAGCCCGCUCGCCGGAAGACCAAGGGUUCCUGUCCAACGUUAAUCGGGGCAGGGUGAGUCGACCCCUAAGGCGAGGCCGAAAGGCGUAGUCGAUGGGAAACGGGUUAAUAUUCCCGUACUUGGUGUUACUGCGAAGGGGGGACGGAGAAGGCUAUGUUGGCCGGGCGACGGUUGUCCCGGUUUAAGCGUGUAGGUGUGUGUUCCAGGUAAAUCCGGUUCACUUUAACACUGAGGCGUGACGACGAGGCACUACGGUGCUGAAGCAACAAAUGCCCUGCUUCCAGGAAAAGCCUCUAAGCAUCAGGUAACACGAAAUCGUACCCCAAACCGACACAGGUGGUCAGGUAGAGAAUACCAAGGCGCUUGAGAGAACUCGGGUGAAGGAACUAGGCAAAAUGGUGCCGUAACUUCGGGAGAAGGCACGCUGACACGUAGGUGAAGUGAUUUACUCAUGGAGCUGAAGUCAGUCGAAGAUACCAGCUGGCUGCAACUGUUUAUUAAAAACACAGCACUGUGCAAACACGAAAGUGGACGUAUACGGUGUGACGCCUG
rnacentral:rRNA from 1 species